AUUCUUAUCACUUAGCUAGUUAUAGAGGUACAAAACAAGAAUCAAAAUCAGUCUGCCUGUUUAUAGGCCUUCUCUCACUAUGACAUUGCAAGGCCUUGUUCUUAGGCUGAGGCCUUUGGC